rnacentral:lncRNA from 1 species
CUGGCAGCCACCACCCAUUUCUGCAGCCAUCCCCUGUCGCUUGGCAGGUGUGGCGCAUGAUGUGCGCAGCAGUUCCCAAGCAGAGUCCUGCCCCCAAAGAUUUUGCUAAAACGACGGGACGAAGAGGAGAUGGCCGCACAAAGGGAGGCCACGGGUUAUUGGAGGGCGCAUGGAGGGAUGCCGGCAGCUGCCCUUGUUCCUAAAACAAGCCUGGAAGUGGCACCCCCCAGUCGUACACAGAUCCAACAUUUCUUCUAACAGUCCCAAUGCCCGGCUCAGUCUGAGUCGAUGCCCCACCUUUGUAGGGGGCAGAGGUGUCAUACAGCAAGAUGAUCUGUUUCAGGGAAGCUCUGGGGCGCUAUCUCCAAGAGCAGGGCUACAUGCCAGUUUCUUGAAGAACCCCCUGAAAGUAUCGUUGUGUGGAGAUGUGAUGGAGAAAGCGCGGUCUUUGGAGAUGAACAGCCCAAGGAAUGUGAGUGGUGUGAAAACGUCUCUCUCGCAUUCUCUCACCUGGACAUGCUGUGCCGAUUCCUCCAAGAAGAAAGGCCGCCAAACAAACAAAACAGCGGGAUUUGUCUGUGAACAAACUGUGAACUGCAACGGAGCGUCUUUCAACCCCCAAAUCCAUCUAAGCACCCAGGCCCAGCAAAGGAUCGAUAGCGCUGAUCAAAAAAAUGAAUAUUUGUUUCAAGGGCUCACAAGUUAUUCCCAAGACGCUGCUUAUUUGGUAACUUAUUCUGUAAACUUCCAGAGGCUGCUCACGCAGCUCGCACAAGGCAUUUACUGUCUGAUCAUUGCUCUGCUUCUUAAAGUCUGCUCCCUGACGCUGCCAUCCUGCGAGCAUUUUCUUCUGUUCCUACAUUUGGCUCAGGUUGAGGCAAGAAAUGUGAAAAGGAACAAAAGUCCGGAUGCUUUGUAUGGGUCACAGAUUGGUUUCCAGUCACUCAGUUUGGAUGCCCAGUGCAACACUGUUGACCCCCAACACAAGAAAAUCAUGACUCAAGUCCCACGGAAAAGUGAGAUUGGCUUAAAACUCAGGGGGCUUUACUUUUCUUUUAACCUUCUGGUUUUGGGGUCCUCACGUGUCAUCUUCGCAGCUACAAGGAGAGGAAAUAUACCUUUUUGUAUAUAAAAAAGAAAGAAAUCUGAGAUUCUUGUAUCAUCGCAUGCUUUCUGGAGCUUUAAGGAAAACACCGAAUAUCAUGAGGGUUUCACGAAAAAUUGC